CAGACGAUUUGUGAUUUUGUUUUGGUCCUCGACGAUUUUUUUGGUUUUAUGGCUGUCGACAGCCAAAUUAGAUUUUAAAACGUCAAUGGUCAUUGCAAGCACUGCACGUAUUGCUAUUUUGUGCGUGGAGCUUGUCAGGCGCGGCAUGUUUUGAAAGCAGGUGCAGCACGUAGCCCAGUCUGCACUGAUGUGAGGACCCACACCAAUGUUGGAGAAGUCCUAAGAUCCUUAUGAAGCACUGCGUCGCUGAACGAUUGUGCAUGACGACAUGCAGUAAAGCAGCAGAGGGCAGAUGAGUUAUUGCUCUAUGCAGCUCCAUGGCCGGAACGCAAAUUUAGCGGAAAAUGCGUGGAUGUCGACAUCCAUCAUUGUACUUGUUAUCCUGGUUGUAAUUAGCUUUUGAUGCAUUUAGUAGCCGCUUUUGCUGUCCAUGCUGGCAUUUUGGAAUAUUUAGCACUCUGUCAGUUCACCGUUUACGCUCCUGACGCAUUAUCCAAUUCGAUUUUUUGGUCAGAUUAUGUUGGUGUUUUCAUGAGAAAGUAUG